rnacentral:rRNA from 1 species
CAGCCGUAAACUAAUGCGCGUUAGGUGUACUGGUGACCACGAGUCACCGGGGUGCCGAAGGGAAACCGUGAAACGUGCCGCCUGGGAAGUACGGUCGCAAGGCUGAAACUUAAAGGAAUUGGCGGGGGAGGCACCGCAACGGGAGGAGCGUGCGGUUUAAUUGGAUUCAACACCGUAAACUCACCAGGGAAGACUGUUACAUGAAGGCCGAGAUGAAGACUCUGCUAGAUUAGCUGAGAGGAGGUGCAUGGCGUAGACGUCU